rnacentral:lncRNA from 1 species
UGGCGGCGCCUAUAUUUUAUCUCUCCUUGAUUUAUUUUUUUAAUUAUUCUUCAUUAAAUUUUUGAAUGUUUUGUUUUGGAUCAGCCCGAGAUUUGUUUCCGUCGAUUUUGUCUAACCGAAAUUUGUUAAGCCGUUUCUGUCCAUUUUGCGUAACCAAGAUUUGUUAAAUUAUUUUUGCCUAUCUCGAUUAGUUACGAGAUUAUCGUCGGACGAGCUAGUCUAUAGGCCUAUAAAGUGGCCCUGUGACGGAAGGGUUACACAGUAGAGAGAAUACUGCCUCCAUCUCUCUUUCGAUCUCAAUUUUUUUCUUCAUUUUUUAUCUUUCAUCCGCUGGGUUGAAGCUUUGUUUUUCUCUCCAUAGUCGUAUCUGUAGGGAAGGUCUUCCGAUUGUAUCUUGGGAUGGAUUACUCGAGUUAGAUCCCACACGAGAGUCAGAGAUCCCAUACGAGAGUCGGGAAUCGUCUUAGGACAGUGCACUGCACGCCUUCGAUCUAUAAGCUAGGAUAAUUUUAUUAUUAAUUUUCUAUUUAUAUUAGAUUAAUUUAAUAUUAAUUUUAUUUUGUAUCUAUUUAUUAGUUUAAUUAAAUUACAGUCGAGGGAUGUAAUAUUCAUAAUAAUUAAUACUUACAUGGUCAUAUGCACCUAUAGAUUACCUUGACAGUAUUCUGCUAGUCUAUAUGAUAGCAUGACAGGUG